UACGUAGGGGGCAAGCGUUGUCCGGAAUUAUUGGGCGUAAAGAGCGUGUAGGCGGUCCGGUAAGUCAGCUGUGAAAGUCAAGGGCUCAACCCUUGAAUGCCGGUUGAUACUGUCGGGCUAGAGUCCGGAAGAGGCGAGUGGAAUUUCCGGUGUAGCGGUGAAAUGCGUAGAUAUCGGAAGGAACAUCAGUGGCGAAAGCGACUUCCUGGACCAGUACCGACGUUCAGGCACGAAAGCGUGGGGAGCAAACAGG
rnacentral:rRNA from 1 species